GCAACCAAUAAUUAAGCCACAUCCGAUAAAAUUGGAAUGAUACAGAGAAGAUUAGCAUGGCCCCUGCACAAGGAUGACAUGCGCAGAUUAAUGGUUUACCAAAAAGGC